UAAAGCGUGCGCAGGCGGUUAUAUAAGACAGAUGUGAAAUCCCCGGGCUCAACCUGGGAACUGCAUUUGUGACUGUAUAGCUGGAGUGCGGCAGAGGGGGAUGGAAUUCCGCGUGUAGCAGUGAAAUGCGUAGAUAUGCGGAGGAACACCGAUGGCGAAGGCAAUCCCCUGGGCCUGCACUGACGCUCAUGCACGAAAGCGUGGGGAGCAAACAGGAUUAGAACCCCAGU
rnacentral:rRNA from 1 species